ACCCACUGAGAUGCUGGGGCUCAGACAUCCCAGGCAAGAGGAAGUGGGCACCUCCACUCACACCAGCCAGUAGGAAGUGGGCAUUCCUGAGCUGGAAGGCCCUUGGGCCCACUGGGGUCAAAAAGUACCCAGGUUAGUAAGAAGA
rnacentral:lncRNA from 1 species